rnacentral:rRNA from 1 species
CCCGGCGGCACUAGCGCGGUGGUCCCACCUGACCCCAUGCCGAACUCAGAAGUGAAACGCCGUAGCGCCGAUGGUGGGGUCUCCCCAUGUGAGUAGGGAACUGUGGGCA